UACGAAGGGGGCUAGCGUUGCUCGGAAUCACUGGGCGUAAAGCGCACGUAGGCGGACUCUUAAGUCGGUGGUGAAAUCCUGGAGCUCAACUCCAGAACUGCCUUCGAUACUGAGAGUCUUGAGUCCGGGAGAGGUGAGUAGAACUGCGAGUGUAGAGGUGAAAUUCGUAGAUAUUCGCAAGAACACCAGUGGCGAAGGCGGCUCACUGGCCCGGUACUGACGCUGAGGUGCGAAAGCGUGGGGGGCAAACAGG
rnacentral:rRNA from 1 species